UGUCGGAGGGGGACCGAGCAAAUAAGUCCCUAGAAACCGCAGGAUCUAACUAGUAGACCUACAAGCAUCUAUUAAGAGUCGGCUGUGUUUGUCACACACCGUGCCGGGAGCUGAAAGGCAGAAACGGAACACUUUUUUUCCCUCAAGGGGCUUGAAUUAUAAUGAAAAAGAGAGCAUGAACACAUGAAGCGUUAAGCCCCGCCCGAUAGGCUUCCCCUAUGUAUCUGUAGAAUGUAAGUGAAGUAAAACAAGACAAAGUUUAUUUUUAAAAAAAUUACAACCCUUCAACAUUCAAUAAUUCCAAAAAGAUCCCGACCCUGUUUUUGACCCUGACAAUUUGGAAGUAAACAAGCACUUAUUAAGACCUACUAUCUGCUCGGCACUGUGCAAAGCACAACAGCCCUGGAAUACAGCUGCUGCAUCAUCACUCGUUUUCCAGCUGAGGAAACUGGCCAAGUGCCUUCCAAGAGUCACGCAGCUAGUAAGCAUCUGGGGCCGAAUUUGAACUCCCAUCUUCCUAUCUCUAGCCUGCCACCCAGCGGCCAACAAUAUGGCUCCCGCUAAUAAAAACGAACACCCUCUCUUCCUCCCCCUUCCCCCCCAAGCCCAGCAACCUCCACAUGUAUACACGUCUCCACGGGGAAUUUUAUUCCUAGGGGAGGCUUUGGGAACAGGAGGAUCAGCAAUAGCCUCAGGGAGGCCAGGGAUUCUGGGGCGAAGAGGAAGGACAAUGGCUGGAAGGCAGAACGCCCUAGAGCUAUGGGGGCAGCCAAGAGAGGAGCGGGGCUGAUGACCCUAAAGGCGAAUCUUGUCUUCCUUCAAAAUCCAACUCAAGGGUUACCUCUUCCAUGAAGUCUUCCUGAGCGAGAGCAAGAGCAUUUCAGAUGUGGCGGAGAGUCAGUGCUAGCGCAUGGAGACAAGAGGGAGAAUGUUGUGUGGAAGCAACUCCAAGGAGUUGAAGGAAGCUGCAUUGGAGAAUGCAGAAGAGUAAAAUGUAUCAGGAGACCGAUUUUGUACCUUUAGGAAAAUCACUUUGGCAGCUACGAGAAGAAUGGAUCAAAAGAGAGAUUUGAGGCUAAUUUGAAGACUAAUAAGGCCAUCAAAACAGUCGAGGCAAAAAAAGAAAAAAAAUUAGAGGAAGUAAAAGGUGAUAAGGGAUUGAACGAAGGUUGUGGCUCUGAAUGGAGAGAAGAGACAUUUCUGAGAGAAAUGAAGAAGUGGAACAAGAAGAGAAUCCAAAAAGCCUUUUGUACCUAAGGCUGUUCAGUCCUUUUCCAUGCCCUAAAGAGAGCAAGCAGCAGGAAUCAAUUGCAAAGGAUUAAAUCAUUUGAGCCCUAAAAACCCCUUGAAGAACGGGAAGGAGGGAGAGGAAGGGCUGGCUAGUUGCCAGCAUGUGAAUAAACCCAGGACCUUAAGAUGGAGGGUUAGGUACUGUGUAACCUCUUCACUGUGUGGAUGACAAAGGGAAUGACUUGCUCAACAACAAAAAAAUACUACUAGUAACAGAACUGGAACUCAGACUCACAUUCCCUCAUGCCCAAAGGCAGAGGUGUCCUUCUACAACAUCAUGUUGUUCGAUACCAUGCUCAGAAGCUUCAUGAUUACCACUGUUUCCUGCCUGGUUCUCUGUUGGAAUCUUUACAAACUGCUAACGCAUUAGAGCUGAUAGAUUAUUGAUCUGAUCUUACAAGAAGAUGUUUUGGGCCAGAACCUGAAACAAGGUACUAAGUAGAACUAAUUGAUACAAUGCUUGUGUUCACACCUUUCCUCACUGGAGUUCACAAAUAUGGGAGAGUCACAAAGUUAACUGUGUAACUUUGUGAAUUCACACCUCCCUUGAAGCUCUUAGGGCCAGAGAGCACUCUGGGAGAAAACCCAUAAUCCCUCUCUCUCAUAUCCCACAAUUCCUCUCUCUCAUAUAUAAGAUACAGACAGAGGCUCUCAGACAGCAUUCAGCCAAAUUACAUGGAGAGGAGAGCAGAAGAAGCCACGGCUCGGAGUUGAGCUAGAGCCAGAGCCAGGAGAGAAUUACUUCGGAAGCAAGAGAGACAGAUUCAACUUGGUGCUGGCACUGGAGGCUGAAGGGAGCAGAGGCAAAGGACGAAGCUGCAGGAGCUCUCAGAACCAAGCAGAAAGAUGGGCCUCUAAGAAUCUAGCUCUUCGGGCCCAAGGAAAGAGACAAGACCUGGAAGGAGAAAUAAACAUUUGCAUUUUUAGCAGCUGGCUGCCUUUGGGAUAAUUAUUGAUCUGAACUGAUACUAAGGCUACCUCCAGAAAACCUCCCCGAGAAACCAACCCUUUCUCUCUCCCAGAGAGAACCAUCAUCUUAUUAUUUUAUAUUUUUAUUUA